UUUCACCUCCCCUACCCCAUGUCUGCUUUCCCCCGUUUCUCCUCAUCCCAUUUGGACUUCACAGAAACUAGACUGGUUUCCAACAUAAUAAAAAAGAGUAGCCGAUGCCUGAAGUCAUACCAAGAUGAGACGAUUGCCACUGCAAGAUUGGAACAUCAUGUGCAGGAUGACUGGCUCCAGGUUCUCCACCCCAUUGUUGACUUUGGCAUCAGGGCCUUUAGAGGAGAGCUGCCAUGGUUGCAUUCUUCAGAGCAGCAAAGAGAGACAGUACUUUUGCCAAUUUCUUUGAGCUCCAAGGGAAAGAAACAGAAACAAGUAACCUGCCACUCUUGUGCCUUAUACUAAACCUUAGAAGGACACUGUAAGGCUGAAAACUGUGGAGGUGGGAACUCUUCUCCUCGCUGGACUACCAGACACAGCCAGCUAAGGUUUGCUACAUUUUUUUUCCAUUCAUUUACAACGGCAUUUAAUAAAAAUUCAUUAAGUGCAGCA
rnacentral:lncRNA from 1 species